UACGGAGGGUGCAAGCGUUAUCCGGAUUUACUGGGUUUAAAGGGAGCGUAGGCGGGCUGAUAAGUCAGUGGUGAAAGCCCUCAGCUUAACUGAGGAACUGCCGUUGAUACUAUUAGUCUUGAAUGUUGUGGAGGUUUGCGGAAUAGGUCAUGUAGCGGUGAAAUGCUUAGAUAUGACCUGGAACACCUAUUGCGAAGGCAGCAGGCUACACAAAUAUUGACGCUGAGGCUCGAAAGCGUGGGGAUCAAAC
rnacentral:rRNA from 1 species